rnacentral:lncRNA from 1 species
UUUAAAUAUUUGUUGUUGUUGUCACUACUCAGCUCUACUACCUCACUGGAUCUAGUUCCAAAUACACAAAAUAGGAAAAGUAGUACUUUGUAGUGCUGUAUCCGUAUUAGAAAUAAUGUAAGGUGAGAGCUAACUACUUACUGAGCUCAAUUAAUUAUGGAGUUCAACAAAUUAUAGAGACAGUCUUGAUCAUUUUUAUUAAUAGUAACAUGAGAUUAAGGAGGGGAAGCCAGUAAACUGUGACCACUAUUUGGCAAGAGCAUUUGGAGUUGAGCCUUGCACUGUAAUUGCUUACUCAGGCAAAACUAUUGAUUCUAACUGGUUAAUGGGUUACUUCUAUAAAAAGGCAAUAUUUGUAUUUAAAAGUGGCAUUACAACAAGUUGACCUAAAGAACAGCUUUGGGAGGAAUUUCAAGGACAGGGUUAGGCUGGUAGAGAGGAAAUUUAGGGAGCAAGACUGACUUUUGACUUUUAGAUCACGUUACAUAGACAAUGAUGUACAUUAUAAACACUACCAUUUUAUAUUAUUCAGAGUUUUAGAGCUGGGUUAUUGGAUGUGAGGAUUGAUGAAGUGUCACAGGAAAGGUCAUGAUAUAAUCCUAGUGCAUUUAUAAGUCAAUCAUUGUUACAUUAAGAUAAAGCAUGACGUUGCUAGUCCUUUGCUGACGUAGUGGGCCUUUCUCCCCCAUAUGGCACCUGACCCCAUACGGCUUCCUAGAUUAUACUAUGACUGUUCCAGAAGGAAUAAAACAAAUGUAUCAACAUAAAAAUU